rnacentral:rRNA from 1 species
UACGGAGGUGGCGAGCGUUGUCCGAAGUUACUGGGCGUAAAGCGCGCGUAGGCGGGGGAUUAAGUGAGAAGUGAAAGGCUGGAGCUCAACUCCAGAACUGCCUUUGAUACUGAAGAUCUUGAGUUCGGGAGAGGUGAGUGGAACUGCGAGUGUAGAGGUGAAAUUCGUAGAUAUUCGCAAGAACACCAGUGGCGAAGGCGGCUCACUGGCCCGAUACUGACGCUGAGGCACGAAAGCGUGGGGAGCAAACAGG